rnacentral:lncRNA from 1 species
CUGCGACCCCGUAAUUGCCUCGGUGAUGUCGUGGGUUCAAGCAGCCUCCUUGAUCCAGGGCCCUGGAGACAAAGGGGACGUGUUUGACGAAGAAGCAGACGAGUCGCUCCUGGCGCAGCGGGAAUGGCAGAGUAACAUGCAAAGACGAGUCAAAGAAGGUUAUAGAGAUGGAAUAGAUGCUGGCAAAGCAGUUACUCUUCAACAGGGCUUCAAUCAAGGUUAUAAGAAAGGUGCAGAAGUCAUUUUAAACUAUGGACGACUCCGAGGAACAUUGAGUUGGCCAGUGUGAAGAGUAUGUGCUCAAACAUCUGAAAUCAAUCACUCCACCGUCCCAUGUUGUAGAUUUAUUGGACUCCAUUGAGGAUAUGGACCUUUGUCAUGUAGUUCCAGCUGAGAAAAAGAUUGAUGAAGCUAAAGAUGAAAGA